AUUGAACGCUGGCGGCAUGCUUUACACAUGCAAGUCGAACGGUAACAGGCCGCAAGGUGCUGACGAGUGGCGAACGGGUGAGUAAUGCAUCGGAACGUGCCCAGUCGUGGGGGAUAACGCAGCGAAAGCUGUGCUAAUACCGCAUACGAUCUAUGGAUGAAAGCGGGGGACCGUAAGGCCUCGCGCGAUUGGAGCGGCCGAUGUCAGAUUAGGUAGGUGGUGGGGUAAAGGCCCACCAAGCCAACGAUCUGUAGCUGGUCUGAGAGGACGACCAGCCACACUGGGACUGAGACACGGCCCAGACUCCUACGGGAGGCAGCAGUGGGGAAUUUUGGACAAUGGGCGCAAGCCUGAUCCAGCAAUGCCGCGUGCAGAAAGAAGGCCUUCGGGUUGUAAACUGCUUUUGUACGGAACGAAACGGUCUGGGUUAAUACCCUGGGCUAAUGACGGUACCGUAAGAAUAAGCACCGGCUAACUACGUGCCAGCCGCCGCAGUAA
rnacentral:rRNA from 1 species